AUGGUGAGAUCUGGAGGAUGGAUGAUGGAAGAAAUAUCUGGACUUAAGGAUAACAGGCUUCCAGGAAAUCAUGCCUUGAAAGCCAUGCCAGGCAGAACAAAUGAUUGGAACAGACAGGUUAGUCGGUUAGUAAAUUGGGGUGACAACAGUUGGAAUGUGCAUAACAUUCAGAGGAGCUUCCAUCCUCAUGACGCCACUAUUACCCCCCAAUUUAAACCGCCUGAUGCUUCUAAGAAGGAUUCCUUAGCUUGGCACUAUGAGAAGAACGGCGUAUUCUUGGUGGGGAGCGCUUAUAAACUAGCAUACUAUCGACAUUACAACCAACAGACAAAUCCUGGCACCAAUUAA
rnacentral:rRNA from 1 species